UCAGUCAGCUGGGUUCGCGAGUAGUUGCCCUCCCAAGCAAACUUCUGACUGCAGGCACACUUACUUGCUGGACAGCUUUCCUGGACCUGGACAGUGGGCUAAGGAUUCCAGGACGGAGGGGCAUUUUCCCAUCUAGUAUUCCACGGAGCGGCACUCCCACUGUGUUGUGUAUCUUAAUUGUGCUUGUGUGACUCACUGUGUUGUAAGCUACUUUGAAACCGGGACAUCUUUCCACUUGAGCGUUCUCUAGUCCCAGCGAGUGCUCCCUGCCCACAAGGAAUUUGGAAUCUGAAGAGAAAAAGUACUGAUUGAUGUAGAACCCUCAGCUCCUUCUUCAGCACCACAUCUACCUGCAUGCUGCCAUGCUUCCCACCAUGACGACAAUGGACUAAACCUCUGAACCUGUAAACCAGCACCAAUUAAAUACUUCCUUAUUGAGGUUUGGUCUGUUGCUAUGUAUUGUAAUGCUAAAUUCUGUACCUGAAGUUUUUGUUGUGCAAACCUUGUUCCUUAAUAUAAAACUAUUGGUUAAAUAAAAAUGGCUACAACCAAUUACUUGAAGGAUUAGAGAUAGGUGGGUUUUGAGUUACCUGGUUGGAGAUUGUAGAGAGGGAGAG
rnacentral:lncRNA from 1 species